GACGAACGCUGGCGGCGUGCUUAACACAUGCAAGUCGAACGAUGAAGCCGGAGCUUGCUCUGGUGAAUUAGUGGCGAACGGGUGAGUAACACGUGAGUAACCUGCCCUUGACUCUGGGAUAACUGCGGGAAACUGUAGCUAAUACCGGAUACGACCCUCGGAGGCAUCUCCUGGGGGUGGAAAGAAUCUCGGUCAAGGAUGGACUCGCGACCUAUCAGCUAGUUGGUGAGGUAAAGGCUCACCAAGGCGACGACGGGUAGCCGGCCUGAGAGGGUGACCGGCCACACUGGGACUGAGACGCGGCCCAGACUCCUACGGGAGGCAGCAGUGGGGAAUAUUGCACAAUGGGCGCAAGCCUGAUGCAGCAACGCCGCGUGAGGGAUGACGGCCUUCGGGUUGUAAACCUCUUUUAGCAGGGAAGAAGCGAAAGUGACGGUACCUGCAGAAAAAGCACCGGCUAACUACGUGCCAGCCGCCGCAGUAA
rnacentral:rRNA from 1 species